GAGGAGUGGGGAAGGGGUGGAUAGCAGGGAAAAAAGUGGGGUGUGGAAGAUGAGGAACAGUUGCUGGACUGGCCAAGAAAAAUAAAAAUCUCCUCCCUAAAAGCAAAGUUUGUCCAUUUAUUCUUUUCCUCUUUUGGCAAACAUUUAUUGGGCUGCCACAAUGUUCGGGAGAUGAGAAAUCAAAGGGCACUAUUAGGGAAUGAGGAAAGCUUAUAGGUUAGAUAAAAUAGAAGUAUACUCCUCUGGGUAGACACAACCCCAAGUCGUGGAGCUUGAUUAGGGAAUAGGAGGCUGGAUUUCAGCCUUCAUUCACUACCCCCCUCUCCCAGGCUGGGCAUUCUGUGCAGUGUACAAACUCAUUAACCGUACAUGGAGGACUGAAGAAUACAAAGACAAACAGAACAUGGGUCCUGCCUGCUAGGAUCAGUGUAAAAGAGAGAAACACACAGGUAAGCAUGCCAACUGCUUCUGAGAGUCUGUCAAGUUUAUCCGAGGUGGUCAAAGUCAGCCCAGGGCAUCUAAACGUUCUAUCAUUAGAAUAAAUUGUUAUGGCUUUUCAGGAGACAAACGCUUGUAAUGUGGUCAGUCUACUUUCUAAGGAGAGCAAAUAAAACAUGUGCACAUUCUUACAUAAUGCCCUCCUGCUAGCACUCAUUAUCAAGUUACUUGUCUUUAGAAAUGUUUUUCUUUUAAAAACACACACACACAUUUUCACAGUAUUGUGUCACUUUCUUUCUCCUGCUCCAAGAGUCCCCUUCACGCGUGCAUUUUUAGCCAAGAAGAGCCUGCGCUGUUCUGCGCCCAGAGCCAAUGAGCCCCGGCCAUGCGCCUCCCACUGCACGAGCUCUCAGCCAAUGAAAGUCCUGCAUUCUCCCUGGCUGGGUGGGUUCUGGAAAGAGGCUUGUUGCUCUGUGGUUUCUCUUUCUGCAUCUGUUUUGUUUCUGGCCGGUGGUUCUGACCCACAAUGGCCGGCUUCAGAAGUAAUGGGGCUGGACCCGUGGCGGUAUAACAAAGGGGAAGUAUCCUGUUGGAUUGCAACAGAGACUGAAGGGGCCCUCAAGGUAGCCGUCUGGUAGGGAAGAUGGGCAGGGGAUAAGGACUGCGGAGUCCUCGGCCUCGGGCAAGGAGAUCAUAAAACAGCAGCAGUCCAAGGAGCUGGCGGGAAGGAACUGUUCGCAGCACGUUCAUGACCUCAGGGGGUGUGGAGAGCAAGGCUCAAGCAAUCGCAGGUGGCUAAAGCCCCAAACACAAGUGGGGGCCUCCCCCAGCAGGGAGCACGCCCAGAAAUGAUCUGUCCAACGCUCUUAUUUGCAGGAAUGCUAAACAGAAAAUGCACGCUCUCUUCAGGGUAGCCAGAAUCAGUUGGCUAGCUAAGAGUCUGAAGAAAGAGGAGGAGGGAGAGGAGGAGGAGGAGUCCUAGAAGGGCACAGAGAAGCUGAGUUCUGACAGGGACUGAGGGAGCUGGUGAGGAAAUCUGAAGAACCAGGUCAGCCUCGCAGGCCGGGGCUGCCCGAGCUCCAGCACAUCACAGCCAGGUUUGUUAACAACGAGCCGAGGGACCUUAGGAGGGAGGAAAACGGGGGCCACUCGAGCAGUCCUGGUUUGGCCAGCGCCAUGAAAGGAUUUUUACACUGGCUGGGAGGCUGGACUAGAUCUGGGAUCCGUCAACAUUUUGGGGUCAGGUGCCCUCCCGAGAACCCAAAGAAAGGUAAAAACCCUUCUUUUCCUCUGAAAAACUCCGAUGUCCAUUGGUUACUUAUGGCAGCACAAUAAAUCACCUCAAGGACUUUGUGUAUUAUAUGUAGGCUAUAUAGUGUAUUGAUGAUAUAUUACAUAGUUCAUGUAUUAUGUAUAGUAUCUUAUCGCACAGCUUCUGUGGGUCAGGGAUUCGGAAGCAGCUUAGCUGGGUGUUUCUGGCUCAUGAUUCUGGGUGAUUCAUGGAAAGGCAAGUCAUGAUCUUGACCAGGGAUGCAGUGGCUUUCAAUGGGGGGGUGACUUUGUACCCUGGGGACAUUGGUGAUUGUCACCAAGGGGUGUAUAUGGGUGCUCUUGGCAUCAGUGGGUGAAGACCAGGGGUGCUGUUAAACCUGCAGGGCCCAGGAGAGACACCCUCUGUCCCGCAGAAAAAUUAUCCAGCCCCAAAUGUUUGUAGUGCCAAGGCUGAGAACCCUGAUCCACAGGCCCGCCUGGGUCCGGCGGAUCUCCUUCCGAGAGGUUUACUCCUGCGGCCGCCGAGGCUGCUGGCGUCCUCGCCGCCUGGCUGCUGGCUUCCCCCAGAGCAAACCGAGAGAGAGGGCAAGGAGGCAGCCACACUGCCUUUUAGGCCCUAUUUUUCUAGAAGCAAUUCACCGAAUGCCGCCUACGUCGAAGGGAAGACAAAGUAGCUCUCGCUGUUCAAGGGGAAAAUCAUCAAAGAAUUUGUGGACACGUUUUAAAACCAACACACCCACACACAACAGGAGUUUCCAUGUUAAAGUUGAGGUGACCCAGAUCUCUCGGGAGGUCCACGGAAUCCCUGCGUUAAAUACCCCGAGGCCCCGACCAGCCCCAACAACAGAUGCGCUCUCACAACCUGUGAGCAGGAAAUCCGCAUGGACAGAUUUGAUUUUUAAGUCAUCUCCAUACCCAGUGGGGGGCUCGAACUCACGACCCCGAGAUCAAGAGUCGCACGCUCCGCUGACUGAGCCAGCCCGGCACCCCUGAAAUCAUUUCUUGCCAAGGAUUUUCUCUUCAAAAUGGAGAGGGAGGUGCUUCCAGGCUUCAGGAGAAUUAAUACACGUCGAUGGGCCGACAAGCAAGAGCAAUGGUUGAAAUGUUGGAACCCAAUAACCAUACCAGGCGCCGAUCUAGGAACUUCACGCCUAUUAAUUCGUGAAAACGAGAGAAAAGAGACCCGUCUGUCCUUGGAACGACUCCAGGAGCAGGUGCCGCAGGCCCCACUUUCCAGAUGAAGAAGACGAGGUGCACAGAGCCGAAAGCUGCCGCACCAGGGAGGAUUCCCCGACGGCCAGGAAGCCUCUUCUGAGUCCGCACACCCAGCGCAGGACACCGUGAACUAGAGCCCGGUCUCCUCAUCGUGCCGAUGUCCGCUCGGGUCCUCGCCUUCCUUCAGUGACUGGUCAGCAGCAGAGAGAGAGGCCAAGGCAGCCGGAACAUAGGUCUCGAAGCCACGCUGGGCUGGCUCUGGGGGAGUUUGUGCGAAGGGCAGUCUGCAAAGAUGGGGGCUGACAGGUAAGAAAUGUCACGCUGGAAAAUCUUUUUAAAGAUUUUGUUUAUUUGUCAGCGAGAGAGAGAGGGAGCACGAGUGGGGGGAAGAGGGAGAAGCAGGCUCCCCGCUGAGCAAGGAGCCCGAUGCGGGGCUUGAUCCCAAGACCCUGGGAUCAUGACCUGAGCUGAAGGCAGACGCUUCACCGCCGGAGCCACCCAGGCGCCCCCAAACCAGCUCAGUCCUAACCUGCAUUGGGCACUUGGGUGGUGUCUGCUGCUUCUGUGAGCCCCAGUUCCCACAUCUGUCGACUUCACACUGGGUCGUCCCCACGUUCUCGCUGGCACGCGUGCCUGAUGACUUCCAACCCAGCCUUCCACAGCAUCAAAAUGCAGCCCAUCCACCAGGACUGGUCCCGACCGGGGGCUGGUGAGCUAAGAAGCCAGCUUUCUUCUUUCAUUCUGGCAAAGAGAGCAGGAAAGCCAGGGUGCCCGGGACAUCGAGGACCUGCACCUGCCUGUUAUCACCCUCCCCUCACCCCGUCAGCACUCAGUCUCCUGGGUCAUCCCUGGCACUGCCCCAGUCUUCACUGCCUGCUAGCUCUGUAGUUUGGGCUCUUGCUGGUUCAGAGAAACAAAAUCGUCUAAACAGUGUAUUUCUGGAAUGCCUGUAAAGUGCUAGGCAGACACACGGAUCACAACAACUCAGAGCUUUGUUCCUGGCUCCAAACCAAAGCUGCACACUGGCUUAUUGAAAUCUAAAGGCCCAGCCUGGUGCCUGGGUGAGCACCGCAUGGCUAAAAUUAGCCUGGCCAUCUGCUGAAGCCGCAGCUGGGCUAUUCUGAGCCCCAGCAGGCCCGCCUGGAAGUGGGGCUGGGCCUUGGCGGGGGCACUGUUGGAGUCUGGUCCCUUCAGACCGAGUGGAUAAUGGGGGGGUUGCCGGGGGGCAUGGGAGGACGAGGCCACACUGGGCAGGAAGGCCCGUGUCCUCGCGAGGUCUCGCGGGAUUGGAGGGGGGCACAUGCUCCCUUUUCAGCCCUGGGCUCUUCUUCCCGAGACCGUCCAGCUCCCCAUCCCAAGCACAAGAUUGGUGUCUUUGUCCCGGUCCCUCAUUUCCCCCUUUUCGUCUGGAAAUCCUGUUUGGACUCAUACCCCAGCUAUGGCUGUAAUUUAUGGAGGGCAUAUCAAGGUCAGGGGCCACACGAAGUAUUUUGCAGGGAUUAGCACACACAUUCUUAAAACAACUCAAAGGGGGGGGCGCCCCAGCUGGCUCAGUUGGUAGAGCGUUUGGCUCUUGACCUCGGGGUUGUGAGUUCGAGCCCCAUGCUGGGUGUAGAGAUGACUUAAAAAUAAAAUCUUCCAACGGACAAACAACUCAAAGAGGUAGGUAUGAAAAAUUUCAGGGAUCAUGAAUGGCUCGAUUCAUCUUUUUGGUCAAUGAAGAAGAGGCCUGGUUGAAAGGGCCAGAUAGGGGCUGUGGCUCGGGCGACCCCAGGCGUACGGGGCUCGUCCGCUUUGGUCUCUGACCUCUACUUUCCCCACGCGGAGCCCACCGCUGGUUCUGCAAGAGUAGCCCUCUGAGUUCAGAAUGCACUAAGCUAGGAGGGGAGCAAUCUGGGGGUACGGACAUAACCUACACAUUUAAAAAAAUAUUUUAUUUAUUUAUUAGAGAGAGAGAGAGAACAAGUGGGGGGAGGGGCAGAGGCAGAAGACUCCCCGAAGCUGGACUCGAUCCCAGGACCUUGGGAUCAUGACCUGAGCCGAAGGCAGACGCUUCACCGACUGAGCCACUCAGGCGCCCUAACCUAGACAUUUAUAGAUACUCCACAGACAAGAGCCCAGUCGUAUAUUCGCAGCCACUGGAACCCACUAUCACACACACCAGGCUCGGGUCCCGAUGGGCUGCUUCAGCCCUCAUUCCCACAGCUGGCCGGAGAACUGCCAGCCUACAACUCCCUUCCGCUAUCCGUUCCCCGUUCCCCUGCCCUCGGUCAGGACUUCAGCCAAUCAGCGCUUCACCCCCGAGGGCCCGAGCCCUCAACAGUCCUGCAUGUCACUGCUGGGGGCUGCUGGCUCCAAUUAACUAUUCUGUUGGACAGGGUAGUGCUAGGAGGAGCUCCUGAGUCUAGGGGGUGCUCCCGAGUCUAGGAGGUGCUCAUGAGUGGUAGAAGGUGCUCCCGAGUCUGGGGGGUGCUCCCGAGUCUGGGGGGUGCUCCCGAGUCUGGGGGGUGCUCCCGAGUCCUAGGGGGUGCUCCCGAGUCUGGGAGGUGCUCACCUCCAUGGCACAGCCUCCCCCUCGGGAGUCAGUAAACUACCCCCUUUUUCUGCCGUGGGCACAGCGGCCUCUAAGCAGCCCCAGCCAGCCAGGCAGCGGCCUCUCCUUGCAUUCGAUGGAACUGCUGUUGUGUCCCCAAGGGGAGACAUGUCUCCCUCAGGGCCUUAGACCUCCAAACCAGCAGAGCUCCAGUGUGGGAAGCAAACGGCAAGUGGGUAUCAGAUGUGGUCACGGUGAGGACUGCUACCCCCAACUCCUUGGUCUUCAGACCCACGCACCAUGGCCGUGGGGGAUGGCGACAUCCAGCGCCCUCAGGCUUACAGCGUGUACUGGGUCCUAUGAGGUGCAACCACCUCCCUCCAGGCCAUCACUGCUGGCACCACGAGGAGCCACGCGUCCUUUCAGUUAGGUCACUUGUGGCAGAACCAGUGACGUGCCCAUUUCCUCCGUGAGCCCCCGGGACGCGGGCCACCACCGCCCCCCAGUCCGGCGUCAGACAACCUCCUUUACACAAGGGCCCUGUCACCCGGGAGCAUUUACAGGCCACGGUUCCUUUUCACUUUUCAAAGUGAGUCUCCAAACAUGUCUUCUUGUAACCUACUUCAGACAGCCCCGCGCUGCUCUCCCCGGACCCGGAGGCCUAUCAGCCUCAAGCAAGUUGUGAUCAGAAGGCUGUGUAUCAUUCCUUAAAAAACCCCACAAACCCAUCUUCUGGGACUUGGAACAAUUUAAGGGAAGGGAAGUGACACCACCUCGGGACAUCAUGAAACCCCUGAGGAAUCUCGGUGACCAAUAUUGGAGUGUCACAGGAGCUAGCUGACAGGUCCUAGAGAAGCCGUUCCUGAGACCCAGGCCUCCAGUGCCGGGCAGGCGGUGCUGGGAGAAGGCGGACGGACCACGCACUGGCCAGGCCGCCAGUGAGGACACUAACUGAUGGGGCAGGAGGGGGGACAGCCCGCGGGCACAGCGCCGGGACAUCAUCAGGGCAGCUCUCCGCCUCCAGAGGGUGACGCCCUGCGGGGGGUAAGGCAGAGCGGCCAACACGAAUCCGCCAGCUGCUGCCCUGGGGAGACAGGGACGGGCACAGCCUCUGCCUCCAGCGCCCGAGACCACGCACGCGGGCCCCCGAGGGACCUGCACGGUCAGCACAGGUCCCCAGGCCCCCCUGCUGGGGUUUCUGUGAAUGGCUUAAAAAAAAAUUAAAAUUACCAGGAUGCAUUUCAGCUACGCCCUAGGGAUAGAACUUGACUUCAAGUGAGGAAAGAAACUCCAAAUAUAAAUAUUGAAGCAUCGUAUGGUAGAUUCCCUUUUAGAAGAUGUGAAUUCAGAAAUGCGAAUCUCUUUAAGACAUCAGUUGUGAUGACAGGGAACCCGUUGAGCAAUCACUCCAACCUAAAAAUACUUUGUUUAAUCAAGGACUGCGAGGGUGAUUGCCUUUCUCUGCGCCAAGGACGGUGAAUACAGAACAUUCCAGAUCCAGGAAGCCUGAGCCUUGCUGACUGGCUGAUCAGGAGCCUGUCUCAGGUCAAAGGCACCAGGGACGAGUUCAGGACACUGGGGAAAGGCAAGGACGCCGCUGCCACCAGGUGGAGUCCUGAAAUCAGACACUUGACCUUGGGCCCCUACCGGUGCCAUCACUCAGAGCAGCUCAACUCUGAGAACACCUGCCUGCUUCUCUCUCCCGUCAGGAAUGCCGGCUGCCCCACUUCCCUCACCAAAACCCCCACAUAACUACCUUUCAGGUUUCAGCUAUGGGCUCACUGUGCCGCGACCAUGUGGCCCAUGUGACCCAGCGGUCACCCUGCUGUCCGAGUCAGCCGACAGGACCUCCACUGGCACAACAUACCUGGUGACCAGAGAAGUCCGUGUGCCUCCUGGCGUCUGGUUUUCUGCCGCCCAGACAGGCACUCCCACUGGCAAUGCCCUUUGCUGCCGGACAUUCUGGGGACCCACAAAUACAGGCGCCAACAGCCCCCUGCCAUCUUUGUGGACCUCGUACCGUGAGGUGAACGGGAUCCACCAUCAGAAUGAGGCCAAACACAAUACAGAAAUGGAGAAACCAUUUCCAUUUAAUCGAGAACAACUAUGAGUUUUUGGGAGUAUUAGCGAUACUGUUUUUAUCUGGAAGACAAAACUGCUCAUGGGCAAUUUGGGAAUUUCAAAUGCAACUUUUAAUUCACUGCACUGCGUUAUUCUGAGGGCUUCCACAACCAAGAGUGUCCAGAAGAGGAAAGCACUUUAAGUGAGAAACUGUUAAUAUUCCUCCUUCUGGUCUCCCCACAGAACUCACACAAAAGCAGCUCAAAAAAGGGACAAUAAAUGCAAAAUAAAAAAAGAAAAUCUAA